CAUAUUUAAGAAGAGGAAAAAGGAAGUGUCUCUCUUUUUUCCCCUCGGCUCAUGCUCCAGUGGCGCGAUGUGAUUCACCAGCAAGGAGGGACGCCAAUAAGGCGUCCGAUAAGAUAAGUCCCAUAAAAUAUAUAGAUCUAUGGUAAUUGAGACUGAGCUAACAAAUGAGAAUCCUAGUCAUUGGCCAAGCAGCUUUGUAACUAAUACAAGUCUCUCUGUGUAUUCAUUUGGGCCUAACUCGGGCGGGCGGCUGGCGUAAAGCUCGCACGUGGCGGUGGGGCUCAGGCGGCUUUUGGCAAAAAGAUUUAUCGUAACAUGGCAUGUGAGUUGUUAUAAGGCCUGCAUUUCAUGGAGUGGAGGAAACACAAGCUUUCAUACCCACAUGCCAGGAGUAGGGCAAAGAAGAGGAAGCCUGUGACUUACAAAUUAUAAGAAGUCAUAGAGCUAAUGUUGGCAGACUCGUUACUGCAUAGGACAUCAGUGGACAGGAGAAAAUGAUGAGUGUGCUGGAGAGCAAGAACUUUCACUAACUAUAACACCAUUGUUUUGCCUUUAAACUUCCAGGCAACAAAUGCUACAUUGACAUCAAAUAGUUCUCAGUGCCAUACAAUAAAUAGUCAUGUAUAACCAAGCUCACCUUGAUGGCUAUUACUUAUUAAUAACAAAACCAUGGCUAUAGUUCCUCUAGCAUAGUUUUAUCUCUUUCAAUAGGAGUCUCUAUGACAUGCUACUAUCCUAUUAUAGACUUUGACCAUAAGCAUGAGUGUGUUGUACCCAGGAAAACUGUUGACAGAGAGAAACUCUGGUGACAUCUCUUUCCAACACUAAAUAACAGCAACCAAAUUCUAAUAGUUCAUGUUUUUCUGGUAUGUAAACCAAUUUGACAGAACUGAAUCUACUUGUACAUUCCUGUCAUAAUCAGUUUAAUAAAAUGAAGAAAAUUAGGGGAAAUGCUCAGAAAGAAGACAAUGUCUAAAAGCUCAGAGAAAGAUUUAAAAAUAUAUAUAUUUAGAAAGUGAACACAUGUUCAGUAGCAGACCAAAAAAAAAAAUGGAAUAAAGUAAUUGAACCAAACAGUUUCUUUAGCACAUUUGGCCCUUUUCAGUUCAUGGAUACUCUGUAGCCCUACCCCACUGCUUUCAUAAAUAAGAAAAAAAAAAAACAGAGUAAGAAUCAAUGAGUUCUUUAUCUCCUAGGUGUGCUUGUAUCUCUCUGGUAAAUUGAUUUCACUUUCCUAUGUGACUGUCUCUCAGUUACUAUGGAUGAUUGAUAGCUAACUCUGUGAAUGAAGGACUUUUUUGUCUCUGUGUUGUGGUGGCAUCCAAGACAGGAAUACAAAGUUAAUUUUACAUAAGUUUCAACAUAUAGAAUCUAUAACAAUGUAAGCUGUCUAUAGAUAAUAGUUGCUAAAAUAGUUCACAGGAAGAUAUGGUGAUCUACAUAUAUGCUAUCCCAGCAGUCUGGCUUCAGAGCACCAGGACUGAACUCCUUUUGGUUCUCCUAUCCUGCAACAUCAAGUGAUUUCUUACAUGCCUAAUGCACCCUUUGGGGUUUCCCUGAAUAAGCUUUCUUUAUAGAGAACACUCGGCAGAAAUCAUAAGAUGCCAAGAACAGAUCCCUAUGAUAAACUACCAAGCUUCACUCAAAAUAAACUUCUUCCAGGUCUUUCUUAUCUCUCUCUCCAAUGCAUCUUCUGGAGAUUUUACCAACACAUUUGUGUUCCUGCAUAUGCUCCCUUAUCCUUAGUGACUGCUGAAAGAGAGGGGUGUGUUGCUCAAAAUAUUUCCCCCAUUUGACUCUUAAAUUGCAGGUAACCUUGAUGAAUUCCUAAUUUUAUCCUGCCUGUGUAAGAUCCACCUUCAUGAAAACCUCUGGACUAAAUGUUGCCUCAAAUAUAUAAUCUGUAAGCAAUCAUGCCAAACACGUAGUGAAUAAUGUAGCCAUAAUCUAGAGAGUAUGAAAUGCUCUUUUUCCCCAGCCUGUUUAUGUCCUAGCAACUGGAAAACACAAAAGCAGAGGUUCUCGGGGCAUGUUGGAACAGAAACAAAUGUAGUCAUCAAGAAUAGAGAAAAACAGAACAAGUGUUAUAAUUUCUCCGUGGACUGACUUGCUAUGCUGGGUUGGCACCGAGGGCCUGAUAUAUACUGAGCCUUCCACACAGUCCCACAACCAGCAAUCUUGCCAUUUCAUCUUCUUCCCUGCUCAACAUCUUCCCAAAAGUCUUUUUCAAUGUCAGCAAAAGCUCCUCAUACUCAAUAGGGUCAGUGUGUGUGUGUGUGUGUGUGUGUGUGUGUGUGUGUGUGUGUGUGUGUGUGUAGUUUGAGUUCAGAUCUUUGCUCUUCAGGCACAAAGAACUGGUGAGCAUUAGCGAAGGUUCCUCGCAGCAGUUGGCAUCAUGUUUCCACCUGAUCACACAGAGAAUUUCAGAACCCAGAUGCAUAGUCUUCAUCAGGAGCAAGAAGAGUCAGCAGCAUGCUGAGGGCACCAUGGCCCCAUGCUCACAUUCCUUUAUUCCAGUGACUUUUAUUGAUUUCUGCCUCUGAAAUGUUCCUCGUCUCCUGCCUGGUAUUCAGAGUCCUCUAAGGCUCACCAGAGAGUUGCAUUUUAAAACUGACGGGUCACAAACUUCUGACCUUUCCUGCUUCUCUCUCUUAUCUCUCUCUCAAAAAAAUGAAGUUUGAAAUUCGUCAUCCUAUGAAGUAUUCAACAUUAUCACUGUCAAAAUAAAUUUAUGUAUGUAAUUCAUUUUCUGGAUUUAGCAAAUAUUUCAACUCUUCCUUUUUUUUUUUUUCAGAAACUGAUCAGGGAGUUAUGGCAUGGAGACUCAGAAUACGUGGAGAAGUAGACUUCUCUGGAUCUAUGCUCCUAACUGCUGAGAGAAUAUAAAAAUAGACAAUGGCCAGUCUAUGUGACAGCAGGAGUCGACCACAGAAACUCAGCAGCAGGCCCAAGAGGUCAGAACUAAGUAAUUACCAGCUUUUCUGAUGUUUGCCUCCUCAUUCGAAUCAGGACCACUCAGUGAAAGUCAGAUAUGCCUCUGCCAAAGAUGCAACCAACUUUCACUUAAAUCUUAAUAUAAUAAGUUUAUUUUACUAAAACAAAAUAGCGACUUUAAAAAAAAUGAAAUAAUGUACCCUUUGAAGUCAAAGUCGGAAUCUGUGGUUCCUAAGGAGUAGCAAGGAAUACCUCCCAUUGUAUAAUGUCAGAACUUCAUCUGGAUUACAAUAAAGGUCUGUUUCAUGAAAGAUUUGCUUAUGUCACACUUUAUCUUCUUAUUGCUGUCUCUUCUUUUUCCAUUUUUAUUGCCCUACUAAUUUAAUUAGUAUCCACAGCACAGCUCUUAUUUUAUUGCCAGGUCAGAACCACUCUAUCCUCCACAGAAAUUAUGCUAAAAUUUUAUUUUACAAUGUCAUUUUUGAGUUUGAGGCCUAGUAUUCAUCAACUCUUUGCAUGUGCCCUUUAACACUCCCUGUCAUUAUGUUUUCUAUAAUUCUUACCUACAGCCCUGGAAAAAAACAGUGCUAAGAAAAUCUCAUAAUAAAAUUUCCUUGAAAUAGGCCCGAUUAAAAGGUGAUUUGUGAUGGCCUUCAGCUUCUGGGUCAUCUCUUAAGGAAUAAAACUGUCCUAGGUAUUUAUCUUAUAUUUUGUAAGUACUCCAUAAAUAUACUUUGUAUAUGUCUAUGAGUAAAUGAUCCUAGCAAUCUUAGAACUUCAUAGCUAGAUAGUCUAAUAAUGGCCCUUUCCCCCAACAGGAGAUUAUUCUUCCUCUUCUCCCUCUUUUAUUUUUAUUUGUUGUGAUUUGAAUAAGAAUGUUCCCCAUAAGCUCAUAUAUUUAAAAGCUUGAUCAUCACCAGAGAGUGGCACUAUUAAGAGUUUUGGUCUUGUUGGAGUAGGUGUAGAUUUGUUGGAGGAAAUAUGCCACUGGGUGUGGGCUUUGAGAUUUCAAAAUCCUAAAAUGAAAAAUAACAGGGGAGAACAAAAUCAUAAAAUCUUAAAGUCAAGUCACAGAAGAUCUGAAUAAGCUAUAUAAGGCUUAUGAAGGAUGGGAUUUAAGAAUGACAAAUUUUAGAAGACUAAGAUUUUUAAAUUUCUAAGGUUAUAAUAAUCUAUUUGUGGUAAAAAAAAAAACUUAAAAUGUAUGUCUAAUCAUGAUAAUCACUUAUGUAUUUGUAAACUUCAUUAAGGUUUUUUUUUUUUUGGUUUUUCAAGACAGGGUUUCUCUGUGUAGCUUUGGAGCCUAUCCUGGCAAUUGCUCUGUAGACCAGGCUGGCCUCGAACUCACUGAGAUCUGCCUGCCUCUGCCUCCUGAGUGCUGGGAUUAAAGGCAUUCACCACCAACGCCUGGCAACUUCAUUAAGUUUUAACCAUUUGGAAAAACUGGAUAAUAGCAGAAACUAUGGUUCCUGGCAUGUGUUCCUCAAUAUUACAUUCUCAACUGGUCCCACAACAGUUGGAUCAAUUGCUCAAGGACAUCAAUGAAAUCAUGAUCUCCUGGUGAAGCUGGAGUAAUUAGUUUUCUUGGCUCUUUCCCUUUGUGGGGCCAUUGGCAGGUACUAUAACUUUUAUUUUGAUUGUACCCUGCAGUUUUUAAUACUUCAUGAACUCCAUGCAGCAUAUGACCUUCAUGUAAGAGUUUACGGAGAAUGGGGGAACACGUGCAUGUAAGACGACUUUACUAUGUUAUAGAGCUGUGUGAACCUGUUCCCAUAGAAUUUGUUUACUUCUCUGGGAGGAAUGCCUUCACCUGCUGAAGGAAUACAAAAGGAAAGAUACUUCCCUGCUCCUCAGCAAUGUGGCUUAGACACUCAAGGACAUUGUGCAACCAGCCUCCCUUUGGCCACAAGACCUUGUGUAUUCUGGGCAUAUCUGCUGAUAGUGCUAAGAAAUGCUCUGUGUGUUUAUCAUUGCGUCUCUGCCCAUGCUUUGAACCUUGAACUAUCUUGGAAUGAUGCUUCAGAGAUGCCCAGUAAAGGGCUCUUGAGUAGCAUCAACUGUAGUCC
rnacentral:lncRNA from 1 species